CCGGUUCCAAACCCUUGCUGGAGAGGUGAUACAGUCAUUUGGAGGAAAGAGGGUUGCUGUGGUAUGCUGGGGUUCCGCUUCAAUGCCUAGUCACCUCAGAUUUUCCUGUACCUGCAGGUAUCACCAGUGAAGCCUGCGAAGCAGCAAAGAUGGCAGUCUGCCCCGUCUUCUAGGAGCUCUGUCACAGGGAGACAAGCCGUGCUGUGCUGGCGGACCACUUCAGCUCAUGGUCACCUCAGACACUCUGAAGCCUGAAGGCUGGAACAACUAAAUUGCCCAAACAGCAAAUAUGACAGCAUCUACAGAAAUCAUUUUAUUUGAGUUAUGUAGCAAGAACCCAACUUAAGCAAAUAUAAAAUUUACAACUAAGUCACUAUUUGGAUAUUAAUGUGUAUGCUAAACUGAUUUGUUCAUGGGCUAGUCAGCUAUUCAUAUGAUCUUUACAAUUUUCUGAAUUCCAUUUUUUGGUUAAAAAAAGAAAACAAGCUGAUACUUUUAUCACUUUCUAAGAAACAUUUGAUUUAAAUUCUUAUGCCUUCAAUAUCUCAUGUAAAAUGCUAGUUUCAUUACUACUGUAAGUAAAUAUGUGUAAAACAGAAAGUAUCUGAGACAAGUCUCAAUCAGUUUUGAAGUUUAUUUGGCCAAGGUUAAGGAUAUGCCCAGAAGAAAUAAACAUGCAAUCACAGAAA
rnacentral:lncRNA from 1 species